UUUUUUUUUUUUUUUUUUUUUGUUCUGACGCAAAUGGCUGGCUUUGAAAUUACAAAUAGUUUGGAUUUCAGGUUUUGGUGAAGCUUCUUGUUAUCAACUCUGCCUAUCAAAUCAUUGCAGUUUCUGUAGAAGGACAGCAGAUAUAGAGGUAUUUCCAAAUUUGAAAGUAACAUAUCGGAGUUCCCAUCGUGGCUCAGUGGGAUCGAACCCACAACCUCAUGGUUCCUAGUCAGAUUUGCUAACCACUGAGCCACGACGGGAACUCCCAAUUCCUUAAUAUUAUCUGAUACUCAGUCCAUAUUUCAGAAUUUCUUAGUUGUGCUGAGUGUCUUAUUAUAGUUGAUUUAUUGGAAUCAGAAUCAAAUUAAUAUUCCUAAACUGUAAUUGGUUAUUAUGUCUCUUAAGUCACUUCUAGUAUAACAGUUCUUCCACCCUUUCUUUUUCCCAUGUCAUUGAUUUAUUGGAGAAACAGAGUCACUUGUACUAUAGAAUGUCCCAAAUUCUGAAGUUACUGUUCUGCAGGUGUUUUUGUUUGCCUUGUUCCUUUAUCUUUCGUAUUUCCUAUAAAUUAGUAGUUAAAGAUAGAGAGCUCUGUGGAACCAGUUUGGAUUUUUUUUUUAGGCAAGAAUAUUCUUAGUGGGUUUGGUGUAUGUCUUAUUCUAUCCCAUCAUAAAGAUAAAGUGCGUGGUUUCACAUUUUUAGUGAUGCUAAGAGGAAUCAGUGGGUUCAGGUGGGAUCACUCUGAUCCCUCCAAUAUAAAAUCCCAUCAUCUUUUAACUUAAUUGUUUAAGCAAAAAUUAAUAAUUGAUUCACAAGUCAAUUAACUAUUAACAAAGUGACUUCAUAUCUUUAACGUUUUUUAAAGUAAAUGGAUGCAUUUUAAUUUUCUUCAUGUUUGUUUACAACAUCACUCACUAAUUUUUCCCCUUCACCUUUGAAUCCUAAAUGUGCUCACAUUCAGAAUGCCUUCAGAAUAUACUGAACAUUCCAAGCAUAAAGCUUAGAAUGUUCAGCUUUAUGAGCAAUGAAGACUGGGGGGGGAUGAGGAAGUAAGGAUUAUGUAUCCACCCACCUGCUAAUUUGCUUGUCUCCCCUCCCUUUCUCUCUCUCUCUUUUUGCUUUUCGAGAUUUUAAACUAUGUAGGAUAGUUACGGUUUAGCAGGCCACUGAGGCCUCAUGGGGAUUGGAAAGUGGGACGUGUGUUGACAGCAGUAUUGGUAUUGGGUAUGAAUUGGAUGCAAAUCUGGGAGACAGUUUAGCAUACAGGUUUUAACAUUUGUUGAGUUAGAAUGAAGAUUGGCUUCAAGUAAAAUUGAGAAGCAGCAGCUUGUACUCUCUGCACUUAGCACCCUUUUGUCAUGUAGCCUUUCCUUACUGACUUGGACAAAAGUAAAUUGCACCCCAUGGAUUACUUGUGCUUUGCUGCAUUGUUUUAAAAACAAAUGAUGAAUUUUUUAGUCUUAUGCAUCUCAGUAUAUGACUGCACUUUCUUCCACUUGUCUGCACUAAAAACCUUAGAGUCAUUCUUCCCUCUCUUAUAUCCCACAUCCAAUCCAUUAGCAAAUUCUGUCAAAAUAUGUGUAAAAUCUGACCUCUUCUGACUACCCGACAGCUGUUCUGUUUGUCCAAGGCAACAUUGUUUCUUUCCUGGAUUAUUGCCAUAAACUCCUAACUGGUCUGGCUUUUCCCGUCCAUACCCUCUAAUGGUCUGUUCUCCAAUGAAGCCAGAAGGAUCUUUUUAAAAUGACAGUCAAGAAUGCCACCCUUUAUCCCAAAGCCUCUAGGACUACCUGUCCCACUCGGGAACAUCUAGAGCCUACAGUGUCUACAGGGGCUUCUGUCAUCUCUUGCUGUCCAACUUGCCCACUUGCACUAAUCACACUGGUGUCCUUGGUUUUUCCUUAACUUCCUACACGUCCUUCUUCCUCAUGGUUGUUUCCUUUAAUGUUCCUUCUGUCUCGAAGGCUCACGAUUUCCUUUAGGUCUUUGUCAGCUGUCACUGUAUCAGAAAGCCCUUCCUGGAGUUUCCAUCAUGGCUCAGAGGAAAUGAAUCUAACAUUCAUAAGGAUGCAGGUUCGAUCCCUGGCCUUGCUCAGAGGGUUAAGGAUCUGGUGUUAACGUAAGCUGUGGUGUAGGUCGCAGACACGGCAUGGCUUGGAUCUGGCGUUGCUGUGGCUGUUUUGUAGGCCAGCGGCUACAGCUCUGAUUUGACCCCUAGCCUGGGAACCUCCAUAUGCCAUGGGUGCAGCCCUAUAAAAGAAAAAAAAAAAAAAAAAAGCCCUUCCUUCAUUCUUUGAUAGAUGCCAAAACCUCCCUAUAUGAAGACCUCCCAAAAAUGUAUCUAUUGAUGACAACAUUUUUUUAGGUAUUAUGUUGUAUAUGCAUUUUGGAAAAUUAACAGAAAAUUUAAACUGUGCUAUAAUUUAAACAAUUAAAAAUAACUAUCCUUUAUAAAGUUUCAGUUAUGCUAGAUGAGUAAGUUUUAAAGAUCUGCUAUAUUAUGUAGUGUCAGCUAUUCAUAGGAGGGUGUUUGCACUCCAAAAAAAUGAAAACAAAAGGACACAAGGAGACUUUGGAAGGUGUUGCAAAUGUGUAUUACCUUGAUUGUGGUGAUGGUGCUCUGGGUGUUUACGCAUAUCCAAACUUGUCAAAUUGCACACAGGAAAUAUGGCAUUUCUGGCAUAUCAAUUAUACUUCAAUAAAUCUGUUCAAAAAUACCUCUGCCGACUGAGGGCAAUUCUUGAUCGAAAUUAGAUUGGAGGAAGUUGAACACACUGGAGGAACACUUAAUUUUUUUUCAGGGACAGAUGGAUUAAUCUCCUGGCAAACAAUUUAGAAUCAAAGGUAAUUCUGUUAGCUUAGUUGUUGGGAACUCUGCAGGACCAUUAUAACAUCUAAUAACUCAAAGGUGUGACUUUCUCAUUAAAUAGCUCUUAAUAAGCAGUGUAAUUGGAUCAAGUGAGGCUUUUUUAUCUUGGUAUGUGCUAUGGUGAAACUGUCUCUUUAGACAAUGAUAAAAGACCAUGGUUUCAAGUGAAUAAAUAAGAUCACUGAUUUUCUUUUUUAUUGAGACCAAAAAAAUUGAUCUUACAUUUUUAUUGGAAGAGAAUUAAUAAUUUCUAUUUAAUUUAAAAAAGUAAUGUAUGCCCAUUGUAGGAGAGAAAAUUAGAUAUUGCAAAUAUAAAGAAUUUCAUAGUAUGUGAUCAGACAUUAAUUUAUUAACCUGAAAUGAGCUUAAUAUUUUGCAUACUCGUUUUUUCACUUAAUUUUAAGUCUCCCUAUAAAUAUAAUCUUAAUAUAAACUAUAAACUUAAUAUAAACUAUAGAAUAGUUUAAACUUGAUGGUGUUUAUGAUUGAGUAUAAACAUUUUCAAUUUUUUGCUCUAUCACAAGCAUUUCUUUACAUUACUAAAACUUUAUAAAUGCUGUUUUAUAUUUCUAAUCAAUAUUUUAUCUACAUAUUCCUUAGCUUACCUUUUAGAUCAAUCAAUGAAUAGCUUUACACAAAGAUGCUUGCUUUUAAUUUUAAGCCUUUUGUAGUCUUAUAAUUUUGGAAUUGGAGGUGAAUAAAACCAGAAGCAUGUCUGCCACCCUUUGGGGUAUAGCCAGGAAGUGCCAAACACCAAGGUCAAAUCCUGACUGCUCACUCCCACAGAGUGGAUUAAUUUUGGACCUACCCUAGACUUUUUGCUUUAUGUGCUAAGUUCCCUGUGGAACUGAGGAGUAUGGUAGACUGGGACUUGGGGAGAUCUUGUGGUCUGGGGACCCAUGCUGAUUCUUAUUUCUGUGGCUUUGCUCUGGAGCUGAUCUGGCAUUUGAGGACUGUUGUAUCAGUUUGAAAGUAAGACAGCUUGGGAGCAAUUUCACAAAUAGGGUUUGAAUUUGGACUGAGGGCCAAAAGUAGUCUGAAGUUGAAAUGAAGCUUUUUGAGCAUUGGCUUCAUUCUGAGUUGCUGGCUUGGUGCUAUUCAUAUCAUGUACUUCCAACAUAGUAUUGAUAAGUUCCAUUGAAGCCGUACAUGUGAAAACUGUAUGAUUUGGUUUUAAAGUCUGUGAAAUUAAAAAUAAUUAUCAUGAGGAGCUAAGUGUUCCUCCUCCCCCCUCCUUUCCCCUGCCCCCUGUGUCUUCCUCUCCCCCUCUCUGUCCCACUCCCCCUCUCCUCCUCCUCCUUCAUUUACAUAUAAUUCUUGCUUUUAUCUGAAGUGACAUUCUACACACUGUACUCUGCCAACUGGGCAUUAGCAUUUCAUUGCAGGAUUUUUCUAAUUCUUGAACAUGCUGCUUGGUGUCUCUUUACUAAGGUGAAAGGCUUUGCUAAUGAUCUGCCCAGGGUGGUUGUGAAGGUUAACUAAUAUCAGAUUAUUAAGCACCCUACAAGUAAAAACAGCCAUGAAUAAUGCUGGCUGUGUAAUGGAAAUUUAGUAAAUGUUACUUCUUUGGGUAAUUGUAUGAUUAAAAUGCCUUUUAUCCCAGUGGGAAAUACACAGAGGUGAUACUGCGGGUUUUUAAAGGGUUGUAAUACAUAGCAGAUUAAGAGCAUAGCUAUGAUAAAUAAUAGCUGUCAACUGAAGCAUUCAUGUAAAACUUAUGAUGUAUUCAAGUAACAAAGGCCUAUUUUCCAUCUCUAUUAGAUUCAGCUGGAAACAGUGAAGAACCAGUCUUGUGAGCUUUUACAUGUGUUCUUUGACCUUUUAUUUUAUUUUAUUUUUUAAAGAAAAUGUACCAAAAUGAAUUAACAGUGUGAUAAAAUCUCACUAACUUGGAUUCUGCUGAUUUGGGUUUCGGACGUGGCUGAAGUUCAUCUUUAUAUUACCCAUGCAAAAUUAUUUGCUCAGUUUUUUAAAAAAAAGCCAGGAAAAAGGAGUCUGUCUAAUAAGAACUAAUUAUUUUUAAACCUAAAUGUGUUGAUAACUGAAUCUGGUUAUUGUAUUAAUUUGAAGAUAGAGUUGUUUACAAAUUUAUUUUUUUACUUCUGGUUAUUUAUUCUGGUCUUGGUUUCCUAAGUCUUAAUUAAUGAGAAAGAUUUGCAUGUCGAGUCUUAUUUCUCACUUUCCAUUUUGGAAAGUUGA
rnacentral:lncRNA from 1 species